rnacentral:rRNA from 1 species
CCCCUAGAUGUUCUGGGCCGCACGCGCGCUACACUGAACAGUUCAACAAGUCUUAACCUUGGCCGAUAGGUCUGGGUAAUCUUUGAACGCUGUUCGUGAUUGGGAUAGACCUUUGCAAUUAUGGGUCUUCAACGAGGAAUUCCUAGUAGACGCAAGUCAUCAGCUUGCAUUGAUUACGUCCCUGCCCUUUGUACACACCGCCCGUCGCACCUACCGAUUGAAUGGUCCGGUGAAAUCUCGGGACGGCGGCUUGGUCGCUUGCGUCCGACUGCUGAAACUUGAUUAAACCAUAUCAUUUAGAGGAAGGUGAANUCGUANCA